AUUGAACGCUGGCGGCUUGCCUUACACUUGCAAGUCAAACGGCAGCACGGGAGCAAUCCUGGUGGCGAGUGGCGAACGGGUGAGUAAUAUAUCGAAACGUGCCCAGUCGGGGGGGAUAACGUAAAGAAAUUUACGCUAAUACCGCAUACAAUCUAAGGAUGAAAGCGGGGGACCGUAAGGCCUCGCGCGAUUGGAGCGGCUGAUAUCAAAUUAGGUUGUUGGUGAGGUAAAAGCUCACCAAGCCAACAAUCUGUAGCUGGUUUGAAAGAACGACCAGCCACACUGGGACUGAAACACGGCCCAAACUCCUACGGGAGGCAGCAGUGGGGAAUUUUGGACAAUGGGCGAGAGCCUGAUCCACCCAUGCCGCGUGCAGGAAGAAUGCCCUAUGGGUAGUAAACUGCUUUUAUACGGAAAAAAAAAGGGGCACGUGUGCCCCACUGACGGUACCGUAAAAAUAAGGACCGGCUAACUCCGUG
rnacentral:rRNA from 1 species